rnacentral:rRNA from 1 species
GAUGAACGCUAGCUACAGGCUUAACACAUGCAAGUCGAGGGGUAACGAGAGGAAAGCUUGCUUUCCUUGUCGACGACCGGCGCACGGGUGAGUAACGCGUAUCCAACCUGCCCCCAACUAAGGAAUAACCUUGCGAAAGUAAGACUAAUACCUUAUAAUUUCCUCAGAUGUCAUCUGACGAGGAAUAAAGAUUUAUCGGUUGUGGAUGGGGAUGCGUCUGAUUAGCUUGUUGGCGGGGUAACGGCCCACCAAGGCAACGAUCAGUAGGGGUUCUGAGAGGAAGGUCCCCCACAUUGGAACUGAGACACGGUCCAAACUCCUACGGGAGGCAGCAGUGAGGAAUAUUGGUCAAUGGGCGGAAGCCUGAACCAGCCAAGUAGCGUGCAGGAUGACGGCCCUAUGGGUUGUAAACUGCUUUUAUACAGGAAUAAAGUUAGCCACGUGUGGUUAUUUGUAGGUACUGUAUGAAUAAGGACCGGCUAAUUCCGUGCCAGCAGCCGCGGUAA